CCUACGGGUGGCAGCAGUGAGGAAUAUUGGUCAAUGGGCGGAAGCCUGAACCAGCCAAGUAGCGUGCAGGAUGACAGCCCUACGGGUUGUAAACUGCUUUUAUACGGGAAUAACGCGCCUUACGUGUAGGGCUUUGCAUGUACCGUAUGAAUAAGGACCGGCUAAUUCCGUGCCAGCAGCCGCGGUAAUCCGGAUGGUCCGGGCGUUAUCCGGAUUUAUUGGGUGUAAAGGGAGCGUAGGCCGCAUGUCAAGCGUGCUGUGAAAUGUCCGGGCUCAACCCGGGCCUUGCAGCGCGAACUGGGGUGCUUGAGUCCGCGGAAAGCAGGCGGAAUUCGUCGUGUAGCGGUGAAAUGCUUAGAUAUGACGAAGAACCCCGAUUGCGAAGGCAGCUUGCUGCAGUGGAACUGACGCUGAUGCUCGAAAGCGCGGGUAUCGAACAGGAUUAGAUACCCCAGUAGUC
rnacentral:rRNA from 1 species